rfam:Aedes aegypti strain Liverpool supercont1.289 genomic scaffold, whole genome shotgun sequence.
AAAUCGGCGCUUUUCAGGGCCAUCAAAUGUGUUAAAAGAAUAAUAU